rnacentral:misc_RNA from 1 species
GAUGAAGAACGCAGCGAAAUGCGAUACGUAAUGUGAAUUGCAGAAUUCAGUGAAUCAUCGAAUCUUUGAACGCAUAUUGCGCUCUCUGGUAUUCCGGAGAGCAUGCUUGUUUGAGUAUCAGUAAACACCUCAACUCCCUUUUCUUUUUUGAAAUUGGAGCUGGACUUGAGUGAUCCCAACGCUUUCUUCCAAGAAAGUGGCGGGUUGCUUGAAAUGCAGGUGCAGCUGAACUUUUCUCUGAGCUAUAAGCAUAUCUAUUUAGUCUGCCUAAAAAACAGAUUAUUACCUUUGCUGCAGCUAACAUAAAGGAGACUAGUUCUUGUGCUGACUGAUGCAGGAUUCACAGAGACAGCUUCGGCUGACUUUGUAAACUCGAUCUCAAAUCAAGUAAGACUACCCGCUGAACUUAAGCAUAUCAACAAGCGGAUGA